GAGACGGAACAGUCGUGCGUUUGGUGGAGUGAGUUCUCAACGAGUGAAUUUCAAGAGAACACAGUGACUCUGGUAGUAGCGAUAGAAGAGUGAUGAGGAGGCGACUGACCAGCAAUGAGCGAUUGACUGCAGCGAAUCAGUGGUUCUCUGCUCCAGCUCUCCACUCACAAUCACAGAGCCCGUGAGUUCAUAUCCCAGCCACUUCGAUGUGGAGUUUCCCAUCACUGGCUCGGAAACCACCAACGGACGACAGCAGCAAGCAGCACCCCCCUUGAACUCGCCAACAUCGCGCGGACGCAAGGCAGGCGCGGCUACAUGGAGGGAAUCCGCAGUGUGGACAUCCAAGGGUGGGGGGGGGGUGGUGUUCCAGACUGUGGGCACAGCAGCGCAGAGGGAGCGACGUCCAACCGAGCGUUGGACUACUGGACGCUCCAGGAGCAGAACUUGUGGCGUGGAGGACAGCUGUCGAUGACACCUCUUGUUCCGUCACAAAGCCCUGCCCUCUCACGGUGGGCGAGAUCGGCGAGGGAAUGGCAUUCAGAGGAGGGAACACGUCCAAGGGGACAGCCACCGCGGAGACGGAGUGACGAGAUCAACUCGUGCGCAGGAGCGAGAACGGAUCGUGGCAUCACAGGACCGUGAUGGAUGGCAACAAU